rnacentral:rRNA from 1 species
ACUCCUGCGGGAGGCAGCAGUGGGGAAUAUUGGACAAUGGGCGCAAGCCUGAUCCAGCCAUGCCGCGUGAGUGAUGAAGGCCCUAGGGUUGUAAAGCUCUUUCACCGGUGAAGAUAAUGGCGGUAACCGGAGAAGAAGCCCCGGCUAACUUCGUGCCAGCAGCCGCGGUAAUACGAAGGGGGCUAGCGUUGUUCGGAUUUACUGGGCGUAAAGCGCACGUAGGCGGACUAUUAAGUCAGGGGUGAAAUCCCGGGGCUCAACCCCGGAACUGCCUUUGAUACUGGUAGUCUUGAGUUCGAGAGAGGUGAGUGGAAUUCCGAGUGUAGAGGUGAAAUUCGUAGAUAUUCGGAGGAACACCAGUGGCGAAGGCGGCUCACUGGCUCGAUACUGACGCUGAGGUGCGAAAGCGUGGGGAGCAAACAGGAGUAGAUACCCCGGUAGUCCCAUGAU